AGAGUUUGAUCCUGGCUCAGAAUCAACGCUGGCGGCGUGCCUCAGACAUGCAAGUCGAACGCGAAAGUCCCCUUCGGGGGACAAGUAGAGUGGCGCACGGGUGAGUAACACGUAGGUAAUCUACCUUUGGAUGGGGAAUAACAACCGGAAACGGUUGCUAAUACCGCAUAAUGCAGCGGCACCUAAUGGUGACAGUUGUUAAAGCGGGGGAUCGAAAGACCUCGCGUCUGAAGAGGAGCCUGCGGCGGAUUAGCUAGUUGGUAAGGUAAUGGCUUACCAAGGCUACGAUCCGUAACCGGCCUGAGAGGGCGGUCGGUCACACUGACACUGACAUACGGGUCAGACUCCUACGGGAGGCAGCAGUCGGGAAUUUUGGGCAAUGGGCGAAAGCCUGACCCAGCAACGCCGCGUGAAGGAUGAAAUCCCUCGGGAUGUAAACUUCGCAAGAACGGGAAGAAUAAGUAGAAGAUAACUCCUUCUAUGAAGACGGACCGUU
rnacentral:rRNA from 1 species